GAUGAACGCUGGCGGCGUGCCUAAUACAUGCAAGUCGAGCGAACAGACGAGGAGCUUGCUCCUCGGACGUUAGCGGCGGACGGGUGAGUAACACGAGGAUAACCUACCUAUAAGACUGGGAAAACUUAGGGAAACCGGAGAUAAUACCGGAUAAUAUAUGGAACCGCAUGGUUCAAUAGUGAAAGACGGUUUUGCUGUCACUUAUAGAGGGAGCCGCGCCGCAUUAGCUAGUUGGUAAGGUAACGGCUUACCAAGGCACCGAUGCGUAGCCGACCUGAGAGGCUGUUCGACCACACUGCCACCCAGACACGCUCUAGACCCCUACGCGCGCCCCCAGUAGGGACUCUUGCGCAAUGGGCGCCGGCCUGACGGGGCGACUCCGCGUGAGUCAUGACGUUCUUCGGAUCGUACAUCUCUGUUUUUAGUGCAGAACAAAUGUGUAAGUAACUGUGCACGUCUUUGCGGUUCCUCAUCUGAUAGCCCCGGCUAACUCCGUG
rnacentral:rRNA from 1 species